rnacentral:RNase_P_RNA from 1 species
GACGCCAGACGGUCGCAGGCGCUUUGCGCUUGAGGAAAGUCCGAGCACCACAGGGCAGGAUGCCGGUUAACUGCCGGCGGAGGCGACUUCAGGGAAAGUGCAACAGAAAGAGUCCGCGUCUUCCUUCGGGAAGGCGUAAGGGUGGAAAGGCGAGGUAAGAGCUCACCCGCGGCUUGGCGACUUGUCCGCGAUGUAAACCCCAUCCGGUGCAAGAUUGAUAGGAGGACGAAUGCGGCGGCCCGUCGCGUCCUCGGGAAAUCGCUAGAGCCUGCUGGCAACUGCAGGCCCAGACAGAUGAUCGUCUAAUACAGAACUCGGCUUACAGACGU